rnacentral:RNase_P_RNA from 1 species
UAAAGUAGCCGGAUAAUCGCGCUUUAAAAAGGUUGAUUAAAGUUUUGAAGUUUAUCUUUAAACAAGUCCGCCUGUUAUAAAAAAGGUUGAUUAAAGUUUGGAGGUUUAUCUUUAAAUGAGUCAGCCUAUUACGAAAAGUGAGGAAAGUCCGUGCAUCCAAGGACAGACCGCCGGAGAAACUCCGGACAGCGUGAGCUGGUGGAUAGGACCACAGAAAAUAUACCACCUCUAACAAGAGGAACGGGUGCAACGGUGAGGUAAAAGCUUACCAGCGACAUCGGAAGGUGUCGGCUAGGCAACCCCCGGUCGGAUGCAAGAUUGAAACAAGCGUUUGAGGUGUCCGCCGAGCUUGAAAAAAUCGCUAGAGACUUGGAGUAAUCCAAGUACCAGAUAGAUGAUUAUCUAGUAGCUUUUUGCGAAAAAACAGAACACGGCUUAUGAGCUACUUUAUUCU